UUUAACUCGCAGUUUGAAGCAAGAGCUUUCGGAGAAGAAAUGCAAAGCAGUUGAAUUACAGUAAAAGCAACACAAUUCGUUCACCAAGUAACAACCUUCGUGCUAUUAUAAUAUUCUCAGAGACUCCCACAUUCAGUCAAACUGCUCACUAGUAACGACCCUAACGAGAAACGAAACGAAGAUCCCCAAAGCCAUCGGCAAUGGUAAAGGAGAUAAAUGUUUGGAUUAUUCAGCAAUCCAUUCCAGUCAUGAGUAUGAAAUCCCAAACACUUUGGAAGCUGAAUUCUUGCACCUCGUUAUCGGAUUUUGGCAAUGGCCCGCCUUUCCAAAUUUGCUACUACUUCAAUAAAGGAGUGGAGCCUUAUAAGAUGGAGCGUCACUGGAGAUUUCGGCAAAUUUGAGGAAAAAGCUCCGCGAAUUCUUUCACUGCUAGUUUGCUCGAAGGAGGUGUAUAAGGUAAUGUGUUUCCUAUUUGCUUAAAUAAAUAUGACUUGUACAUUGUGUAACUUACCAUUACUUUCAAAUAUACCAAAUAGGUUUGUGCACACUAUCCGAUUUUAUCUCUCAUUGAAAUUGUCAAAUUGUUUCUCUGAGCUAUGUUAUAGUCUGCUUUAAUGGCUGCUGUAAGGAAUACAGGAUGAAUAAUCGGAAAAGAUAAUCAUAAUGAAAUAGCUUUUUCACUUGUGUGUAUUUACCUAUUGAUCUUGUAAUCAUCGUCAGAGAAUAUAGGGAUUUAAGGCUUAUCGUUGAUAAAAUUUAUUUCACAGAUAGAUCAAUUGUACAAAUAUCAUAUUGUUACAGUUAUUUGUAUCUUGGUCGCGGUUGUACCAUUUGAAAAGGGAAAAUUUCAUUAAUAUAAUCUUUAAGAAAAAGCAAUAAUCUCCUUCCUCACUAGAAAUGAUGUAAGUAUA